rnacentral:rRNA from 1 species
CUACGGGUUGCUGCAGUGGGGAAUCUUGCGCAAUGGGCGAAAGCCUGACGCAGCAACGCCGCGUGCGGGAUGAAGGCCUUCGGGCUGUAAACCGCUUUCAGCAGGAACGAAAAUGACGGUACCUGCAGAAGAAGGAGCGGCCAACUACGUGCCAGCAGCCGCGGUGACACGUAGGCUCCAAGCGUUGUCCGGAUUUAUUGGGCGUAAAGAGCUCGUAGGCGGUUGAGUAAGUCGGGUGUGAAAACUCUGGGCUUAACCCGGAGACGCCAUCCGAUACUGCUCUGACUAGAGUUCAGGAGGGGAGUGGGGAAUUCCUAGUGUAGCGGUGAAAUGCGCAGAUAUUAGGAGGAACACCGGUGGCGAAGGCGCCACUCUGGACUGAAACUGACGCUGAGGAGCGAAAGCACGGGUAGCAAACAGGAUUAGAUACCCGCGUAGUC